GACGAACGCUGGCGGCGUGCUUAACACAUGCAAGUCGAACGAUGAAGCCGGAGCUUGCUCUGGUGAAUUAGUGGCGAACGGGUGAGUAACACGUGAGUAACCUGCCCUUGACUCUGGGAUAACUGCGGGAAACUGUAGCUAAUACCGGAUACGACCCUCGGAGGCAUCUCCUGGGGGUGGAAAGAAUUUCGGUCAAGGAUGGACUCGCGGCCUAUCAGCUAGUUGGUGAGGUAAAGGCUCACCAAGGCGACGACGGGUAGCCGGCCUGAGAGGGUAACCGGCCACACUGGGACUGGGACACGGCCCAGACCCCUACGGGAGGCAGCAGUGGGGAAUAUUGCACAAUGGGCGCAAGCCUGAUGCAGCAACGCCGCGUGAGGGAUGACGGCCUUCGGGUUGUAAACCUCUUUUAGCAGGGAAGAAGCGAAAGUGACGGUACCUGCAGAAAAAGCACCGGCUAACUACGUGCCAGCCGCCGCAGUAA
rnacentral:rRNA from 1 species